rnacentral:rRNA from 1 species
UAAGGAAUAUUGGACAAUGGACGCAAGUCUGAUCCAGCCAUGCCGCGUGAAGGAUGAAUGCCCUCUGGGUUGUAAACUUCUUUUAUAGGGGAAGAAAGAUACUUUUUUUAAGGUAGUUGACGGUACCCUAUGAAUAAGCACCGGCUAACUCCGUGCCAGCAGCCGCGGUAAUACGGAGGGUGCAAGCGUUAUCCGGAUUUACUGGGUUUAAAGGGUGCGUAGGCGGGCAUGUAAGUCAGUGGUGAAAUACCGGAGCUUAACUUCGGAACUGCCAUUGAUACUAUAUGUCUUGAAUAUUGUGGAGGUAAGCGGAAUAUGUCAUGUAGCGGUGAAAUGCAUAGAUAUGACAUAGAACACCGAUUGCGGAGGCAGCUUGCUACGCAAAUAUUGACGCUGAGGCACGAAAGCGUGGGGAUCAAACG